UAAUUUUUUAUGAUUUAUUUAUGUAUAUGAAAGUCAGAGUUACACAGAGAGAGGAGAGGCAGAGAGAGAGUGGUCUUCCAUCUGAUGGUUCACUUCCCAAUUGGCCGCAAUGGCCAGAGCUGCUCUGAUCCGAAGCCAGGAGCCAGGAGCUUCUUCUGGGUCUCCCAUGCAGGUGCAGGGCCCCAAGGACUUGGGCCAUCUUCCACUGCUUUCCCAGGCCAUAGCAGAGAGCUGGAUUGGAAGUGGAACAGACGUGACUCGAACCAGUGCUCAUAUGGGAUGCUGGUGCUCCAGGCCAUGGAGUUAAUCUGCUGCACCACAGCGCUGGCCCCUCCUCUGAUUUUAAAAGAAUUAGCAGACUGAGAACAUGAUCAGAUCACCAUCAGCCAUCGAAGAAGUUAUCUGUGGUGGGAUGAAACAGAGAAAAGCUACUGGGAACUGGAGAGCAGGGCACUUAUAUCAUAGGACUCUGACGUUGGAAAUAGAAGUCUGUGUAAAACUUAGAAAAAGAAUAGUGUUCAGAGAGAACUACGGAUGAAAGCAGCUUGUUGAUAGGUGGACAAAGGAAGACUUUGUGUGAACACUGGCUAAUUAAGUCUUGCAAUUACUCAAAGAGCUUUCUUUUGUGUAGAGGAGAGACACAUAUAAGAGUGAUGUAUGAGUUCUGAUUGAAAAUACUUAUUCAUAUUCUUUGGGGGAAGGGCCAUUUGCCUAUGAAACAAAGCCAAGGCCGCCAAUUUCCCGCUUUGAGCAGGCAUGGGGAGAGUGGGACGAGGCAGGCUUCUAAAGUAGGUGAAAUUGUUGGCCAUGAAAAGUGUCUUUGACUCACCGUUUCAAUGGACUUAACCUUUAUUAAAUAUAGAACCCCUAUCAAAAUAGCUAUAAGCUGAGAGAAUUGCUUCCAAUACAUACUCCUUUUCUUAGUAGUCAUAGAAAAAACAAAGCUUGAUAAGCUCUUGGGGCUGGAGUAUUCUUCUCCCAUAUGGGAGUUAUUAUUUCCAGUUCAGUGUGUCUCAAAGUAGGGGUCAGGUCUCCCAGAGGCCAUAGGGGUCUGAGAGGGUUAACACAGAACAGAGCUACAGAACUCUGAAGUGAUCACUGUUGAUGAUGGUAGUGAACUCUGAGCUAUAUAAACCAGAUGAAAAGGUCUUCUUACCAGCCCCUAGCCUUCAGUUGUCUCCUAGCAAAUGUUCAACUAUGCUCCAUCUCCAAGAGGGGGCUCCAAACUGCUGUUUGAUGGCUUAUAGAAAUCAGUGCAAGCUUGCUUUCCUAUGUGGGAGGCAUGGAGCCAACAUAAGAACCUGAAAGCAAGUAGAGAGAAGAGGAAAGACAUUGACUUAGAGACGUUUUCAAUUUGUGGAGGAAGCUGGCAAGCCUCUACGGAGACAUAAACCAAAGCCCCAGGUGCUCCAAAUCUUCUGGCCCCUAAAAAUGUGGACUACAUUCCUUUCUUUACUUAAUAAGUUCUUGUCCAUUUUUUUUUUCCCUCUAACAAUCCCUGCUUUUCUUAAUACUUUUUUGUUGGCUCUUGCAACCUACCAACAUUAUAUUUCAAAACAGUAGCUUUAUCUUAGAAAUGUCUCAUGAAUCUAUGAGAUAAGUAACAGGGAUUUUUUUUAAGUGCCUAAUUACUAUCUAUUUUCUGAGCCCUUUCUCAUGCUCUUAUAAUCUGUGACAAAUCCAUAAACCAAGAGGUGGGGUAGAGAUUUUGCUGAUAAUCAGAAUAAACUCUUUCAUCAUUCAGAACCUUUAUUCCA
rnacentral:lncRNA from 1 species